UACGGGGGGGCGAAGCGUUGUUCGGAAUUACUGGGCGUAAAGGGUUCGUAGGUGGCCCGCUAAGUCACACGUGAAAUCCCUCAGCUUAACUGGGGAACUGCGUGUGAGACUGGCAGGCUUGAGUGCAGGAGAGGAACGCGGAAUUCCAGGUGUAGCGGUGAAAUGCGUAGAUAUCUGGAGGAACACCGAGAGGCGAAGGCGGACUACCUGGACAAUUGCUGACGCUCAGGCACGAAAGCGUGGGGAGCAAAGGGAGU
rnacentral:rRNA from 1 species